rnacentral:rRNA from 1 species
GAGAGUGGGUAGUCCGCACGAGCGCACCUCACUUUUAGUUGCCAUCAUUAAGUUGGGCACUCUGAAAGAACUGCCAGUGAUAAGCUGGAGGAAGGUGGGGAUGACGUCAAGUCCUCAUGGCCCUUACGUGUUGGGCUACACACGUGCUACAAUGGCAUCUACAACAGGAAGCAAAACGGCAACGUUAAGCAAAUCCCGAAAAGAUGCCUCAGUUCGGAUUGCACUCUGCAACUCGAGUGCAUGAAGCUGGAAUUACUAGUAAUCGUGGAUCAGCGUGCCACGGUGAAUGCGUUCCCGGGUCUUGUACACACCGCCCGUCACACCAUGGGAGUUGGUUCUACCUUAAGGCAAGGUUUCAAACCCUUGUACCACGGUAUAGUCAGCGACUGGGGUGAAGUCGUAACAAGGUAGCCGUAGGGGAACCUGCGGCUGGAUUACCUCCUUUCU